rnacentral:lncRNA from 1 species
AGAGGUGGGAGGGCAUUCUGCCAGCCCAGUAUAUCCACUUUGCUUCGACAAAUGUCAGCCUGCCCAGAAUAAGGAAGUACCCACAGCCGGGAAAGGUAAAUCCAAACCCUGAAAAGACAGAUACUGAGCAUUUGAAAUAACACAGCUUGCAGCGUCCUUGCGGAGCCCUGUUUAUGGGGCAAUAAACCAUUUAAACGACUGUGUGUUGGAACCCACAAGGUCGCCUUGAAAGGCUUUUCACAGACACUGCUAGUAGGGCUCCAGGACGUCUGGAGGGCCAGGAUGGGGUGUCUUUUUGGCUUCUGCUUGAAGCUGCUGGUUCCCCUCCAUCAGGAACGCCAGCCCCUGGAGAGGCUGCCAUGAGCUUCCAUUUUUACCCUCUAGAAAGCCAGUUUCCACGUAAAGAAAUCUAAGCAACUUGCUAGGGAGGCCACAUGGAGACAGUGAAACCCCAGAGGAUGAGAAACCACUUGAAAAAGAGCGAAGGCACCCAGUGGACAGCCAGCACCCGCCGCCGGAUGUGAAUGAGGCUGUCUUGCAUUCCUAAGAUGCUGCAGCUGACAUGAGGUGAAGCAAAGAUGAGUGUCCCAGCUGAGCCUGGCCAAGCUCCUGACUCACGGAAUCCUGAAAAAUAAAUGGUUGUCAUUUUAUGUUGUU